CGUUGCGGUUCUAUACAUGCAGUCGACGACUCUGGUAUUGAUUGGUGCUUGCAUCAUGAUUUACAUUUGAGUGAGUGGCGAACUGGUGAGUAACACGUGGGAAACCUGCCCAGAAGCGGGGGAUAACACCUGGAAACAGAUGCUAAUACCGCAUAACAACUUGGACCGCAUGGUCCGAGCUUGAAAGAUGGCUUCGGCUAUCACUUUUGGAUGGUCCCGCGGCGUAUUAGCUAGAUGGUGGGGUAACGGCUCACCAUGGCAAUGAUACGUAGCCGACCUGAGAGGGUAAUCGGCCACAUUGGGACUGAGACACGGCCCAAACUCCUACGGGAGGCAGCAGUAGGGAAUCUUCCACAAUGGACGAAAGUCUGAUGGAGCAACGCCGCGUGAGUGAAGAAGGGUUUCGGCUCGUAAAACUCUGUUGUUAAAGAAGAACAUAUCUGAGAGUAACUGUUCAGGUAUUGACGGUAUUUAACCAGAAAGCCACGGCUAACUACGUGCCAGCAGCCGCGGUAAUACGUAGGUGGCAAGCGUUGUCCGGAUUUAUUGGGCGUAAAGCGAGCGCAGGCGGUUUUUUAAGUCUGAUGUGAAAGCCUUCGGCUCAACCGAAGAAGUGCAUCGGAAACUGGGAAACUUGAGUGCAGAAGAGGACAGUGGAAACUCCAUGUGUAGCGGUGAAAUGCGUAGAUAUAUGGAAAGAACACCAGUGGCGAAAGCGGCUGUCUGGUCUGUAACUGACGCUGAGGCUCGAAAGUAUGGGUAGCAAACAGGAUUAGAUACCCUGGUAGUCCAUACCGUAACGAUGAUGCUAAGUGUGUUGGGAGGGUUCCGGCCCUUUCAGUGCUGCAGCUAACGCAUUAGCAUCACUGGGGAGUUACGGCCGCAGCUGAACUCGACGUAUGGACCGGAGUCGCCAUGCGGUAAAACGCGAGGCGCCAGCCGAUUUGUAAGUCUGGAUGUGAAAGCUUCGGCUCCAAACCCGAAGAAGUGCAUCCGGGAACUUGGGAAACUUGAGUGCAGAAGAGGACAGUGGAAACUCCCAUGUGGUAGCGGUGAAAUGCGUAGAUAUAUGGAAGAACACCCAGUGGCGAAGGGCGGCUGUCUGGUCUGUAACUGACGCUGAGGCUCGAAAGUAUGGGUAGCAAACAGGAUUAGAUACCCUGGUAGUCCAUACCGUAAACGAUGAAUGCUAAGUGUUGGAGGGUUUCCGCCCUUCAGUGCUGCAGCUAACGCAUUAAGCAUUCCGCCUGGGGAGUACGGCCGCAAGGCUGAAACUCAAAGGAAUUGACGGGGGCCCGCACAAGCGGUGGAGCAUGUGGUUUAAUUCGAAGCUACGCGAAGAACCUUACCAGGUCUUGACAUACUAUGCAAAUCUAAGAGAUUAGACGUUCCCUUCGGGGACAUGGAUACAGGUGGUGCAUGGUUGUCGUCAGCUCGUGUCGUGAGAUGUUGGGUUAAGUCCCGCAACGAGCGCAACCCUUAUUAUCAGUUGCCAGCAUUAAGUUGGGCACUCUGGUGAGACUGCCGGUGACAAACCGGAGGAAGGUGGGGAUGACGUCAAAUCAUCAUGCCCCUUAUGACCUGGGCUACACACGUGCUACAAUGGAUGGUACAACGAGUUGCGAACUCGCGAGAGUAAGCUAAUCUCUUAAAGCCAUUCUCAGUUCGGAUUGUAGGCUGCAACUCGCCUACAUGAAGUCGGAAUCGCUAGUAAUCGCGGAUCAGCAUGCCGCGGUGAAUACGUUCCCGGGCCUUGUACACACCGCCCGUCACACCAUGAGAGUUUGUAACACCCAAAGUCGGUGGGGUAACCUUUUAGGAACCAGCCGCCUAAGGUGGGACAGAUGAUAGGGUGAAGUCGAAUCAUGUUGCAC
rnacentral:rRNA from 2 species